AGACCGCCACGGUGACUUGCAAGCAACUCAUUGCACUUAGAUACUGGACUACCUGAAUUUCUAAUUUAGUGACGGAAGGCUGCUGGGUAUAGUCAAGUAUUUGACUUGUCGGUGCGUGUGUCAAGAUGGGAUUGAUCACUGCAGUUCAGGAGCUGUGUACAGUCAUAUUUCAAUUUAGCAAAACCUUGAUCAGAGUAGUCCUAGUGAAGAGUCACA
rnacentral:lncRNA from 1 species